UACGGGGGGAGCAAGCGUUGUUCGGAUUUACUGGGCGUAAAGGGCGCGUAGGCGGCCAGCGCAAGUCAGUUGUGAAAUCUCUGGGCUUAACUCGGAACGGUCAACUGAUACUGCGCGGCUAGAGUGCGGAAGGGGCAACUGGAAUUCUCGGUGUAGCGGUGAAAUGCGUAGAUAUCGAGAGGAACACCUGCGGCGAAGGCGGGUUGCUGGGCCGACACUGACGCUGAUGCGCGAAAGCCAGGGGAGCGAACGGG
rnacentral:rRNA from 1 species